GUCUAUCUAGAUGACAUCCUGAUCUUUUCCAGAAACCAAUCCGAGCACGAGACCCAUGUCAGACAGGUCCUGCAACGACUCCUCGAAAACCGAUUGUUCGUCAAAGGAGAAAAGUGUGAAUUCCACGUCUCCACCGUUGCAUUCCUGGGGUACAUAAUCGACCAAGGAAACCUCCGCCCGGACCCUGUGAAGUUGAACAAAGAAGCUCAGGCAGCUUUCCAAGAACUGAAGAAACGAUUCGCCUCAGCCCCCAUCCUGAUCCAACCCGACCUCACGCAGCCAUUUGUGGUCGAGGUCGACGCGUCCGACUCAGGGGUUGGAGCGGUUCUGUCGCAACGGAAGGACGACCCGGUUCCCGGAAUGUCAAACCCGAUGCCCUGUCC
ensembl:lncRNA